rnacentral:rRNA from 1 species
UACGGAGGGUGCGAGCGUUGUCCGGAAUUACUGGGCGUAAAGAGCUCGUAGGUGGUUUGUCGCGUUGUCCGUGAAAUUCCCUGGCUUAACUGGGGGCGUGCGGGCGAUACGGGCAGACUGGAGUACUGCAGGGGAGACUGGAAUUCCUGGUGUAGCGGUGGAAUGCGCAGAUAUCAGGAGGAACACCCGGUGGCGAAGGCGGGGUCUCUGGGCAGUAACUGACGCUGGAGGGAGCGAA